AUGUCAGUUCGCGCAGAGCAUAUCAGUCUUUCAGUUCGUGAGCUCAUCAGUUCACCGAUGGGAUCCGCAGCUCCCAGGCGGUUCACAACCGCCGCCCUAGUCCGUUCAUCACUGCCAAUCGAGGCCGUUCGACAACGCAGCGUUGAGGUCGGUCAACGACGCAAUGUGGCCAUGGAUGCGCCCAACGAAGGACAGCGAAAGGCAAAAAACAAACUAGUGCAGCUGCUUGCCUCCACUUCAUAUCCCAUACCAGAAAACAUCCGUCGGCCCCUCUGUUUUCUUAAAAUUUCGAGUCGGACAAUUGCAAAAAUUCAGAGGAGACAACGCGGGAAGUUCAAAGAAAAUUCGGACUUGUGCAGUGGUGAAGGAGGAAGCAGCAGUGCCGCCGGGUCCAGGAUUCCAGGUGGUUCAACGUGUCGAGCGGUAGCAGCGCUUGCUCCCAAUGGUUGCCCGCGCAAGGAGGAUACAGGGAUGUUACAUUGCUGGAGGAGCAGUAGCAUGUAG
rnacentral:rRNA from 1 species